rnacentral:rRNA from 1 species
UACGGAGGGUGCAAGCGUUAUCCGGAUUCACUGGGUUUAAAGGGUGCGUAGGUGGGCAGUUAAGUCAGUGGUGAAAGCCUUCAGCUUAACUGAAGAAUUGCCAUUGAUACUGAUGAUCUUGAGUAUGAUUGAGGUUGGCGGAAUGUGUCAUGUAGCGGUGAAAUGCUUAGAUAUGACACAGAACACCGAUUGCGAAGGCAGCUAACUAAGCCAUAACUGACGCUGAUGCACGAAAGCGUGGGGAGCAAACAGG